rnacentral:lncRNA from 1 species
CCCUAUCUCUCGAACAAAAACAUAUGGGAUAAGCACCAAAAAGGAAACUAUGGGGCAGAUUUUCUUUUUUCCAUAUUUCCUCUAAUGCUCAUCAUAAAGCAAAAGCUCAAAAGUCAGAUAUUUUGACUAACAAAGUUAUUAGUCCUGUGAAUAUAAAAAGAUAUUGUAUUCUCUUUCUUUCUUAUACUACAAGAAAAUAGACUAU